rnacentral:rRNA from 1 species
UGGGGAAUCUUGGACAAUGGGGGAAACCCUGAUCCAGCCAUGCCGCGUGAGUGAUGAAGGCCCUAGGGUUGUAAAACUCUUUCGGCGGGGACGAUAAUGACGGUACCCGCAGAAGAAGCUCCGGCUAACUUCGUGCCAGCAGCCGCGGUAAUACGAAGGGGGCUAGCGUUGUUCGGAAUUACUGGGCGUAAAGCGCGCGCAGGCGGUUCUUCAAGUCAGAGGUGAAAGCCCAGAGCUCAACUCUGGAAUGGCCUUUGAGACUAGAGAACUUGGGUACGGGAGAGGUGAGUGGAAUUCCGAGUGUAGAGGUGAAAUUCGUAGAUAUUCGGAAGAACACCAGUGGCGAAGGCGGCUCACUGGCCCGUUACCGACGCUCAGGCGCGACAGCGUGGGGAGCAAACAGGAUUAGAUACCCCUGUAGUCC